rfam:Xenorhabdus vietnamensis strain DSM 22392 Xvie_3, whole genome shotgun sequence.
UUGACGAUAUCGAGGCUGGCUUUUAGCCGGUGGGGAUGACCUGUUAAUACAGGCGGCAGUACUGAGUACUCAACCGAUACCCCGCAAUACCUCAACUUGCGUUCACUCUGGCGCACAGAUAUCGAUCA